AUGAACGCUGGCGGCGUGCUUAACCCAUGCCAGUCGCACGAAGCACUUUAUUUGAUUUCCUUCGGGACUGAUUAUUUUGUGACUGAGUGGCGGACGGGUGAGUAACGCGUGGGUAACCUGCCUUGUACAGGGGGAUAACAGUUGGAAACGGCUGCUAAUACCGCAUAAGCGCACGGCAUCGCAUGAUGCAGUGUGAAAAACUCCGGUGGUAUAAGAUGGACCCGCGUUGGAUUAGCUAGUUGGUGAGGUAACGGCCCACCAAGGCGACGAUCCAUAGCCGACCUGAGAGGGUGACCGGCCACAUUGGGACUGAGACACGGCCCAAACUCCUACGGGAGGCAGCAGUGGGGAAUAUUGCACAAUGGGCGAAAGCCUGAUGCAGCGACGCCGCGUGAGCGAAGAAGUAUUUCGGUAUGUAAAGCUCUAUCGGCAGGGAAGAUAAUGACGGUACCUGACUAAGAAGCACCGGCUAAAUACGUG
rnacentral:rRNA from 1 species